rnacentral:rRNA from 1 species
AGUGAACGCUGGCGGUAGGCCUAACACAUGCAAGUCGAACGGCAGCACAGUAAGAGCUUGCCCUUACGGGUGGCGAGUGGCGGACGGGUGAGGAAUACAUCGGAAUCUACUUUUUCGUGGGGGAUAACGUAGGGAAACUUACGCUAAUACCGCAUACGACCUACGGGUGAAAGCAGGGGAUCUUCGGACCUUGCGCGAUUGAAUGAGCCGAUGUCGGAUUAGCUAGUUGGCGGGGUAAAGGCCCACCAAGGCGACGAUCCGUAGCUGGUCUGAGAGGAGGAUCAGCCACACUGGAACUGAGACACGGUCCAGACUCCUACGGGAGGCAGCAGUGGGGAAUAUUGGACAAUGGGCGCAAGCCUGAUCCAGCCAUACCGCGUGGGUGAAGAAGGCCUUCGGGUUGUAAAGCCCUUUUGUUGGGAAAGAAAAGCAGCAGGUUAAUACCCCGCUGUUCUGACGGUACCCAAAGAAUAAGCACCGGCUAACUUCGUG